rnacentral:rRNA from 1 species
GGAAUGUGCCCUUCUCUACGGAAUAGCCACUGGAAACGGUGAGUAAUACCGUAUACGCCCUUAGGGGGAAAGAUUUAUCGGAGAAGGAUCAGCCCGCGUUAGAUUAGGUAGUUGGUGGGGUAACGGCCUACCAAGCCUACGAUCUAUAGCUGGUUUUAGAGGAUGAUCAGCCACACUGGGACUGAGACACGGCCCAGACUCCUACGGGAGGCAGCAGAGGGAAUCUUGGACAAUGGGGGAAACCCUGAUCCAGCCAUGCCGCGUGAGUGAAGAAGGCCUUAGGGUCGUAAAGCUCUUUCGCCUGUGAUGAUAAUGACAGUAGCAGGUAAAGAAACCCCGGCUAACUCCGUGCCAGCAGCCGCGGUAAUACGGAGGGGGUUAGCGUUGUUCGGAAUUACUGGGCGUAAAGCGCGCGUAGGCGGAUUGGAAAGUUGGGGGUGAAAUCCCGGGGCUCAACCCCGGAACUGCCUCCAAAACUGCCAGUCUAGAGUUCGAGAGAGGUGAGUGGAACUCCAAGUGUAGAGGUGAAAUUCGUAGAUAUUUGGAAGAACACCAGUGGCGAAGGCGGCUCACUGGCUCGAUACUGACGCUGAGGUGCGAAAGUGUGGGGAGCAAACAGGAUUAGAUACCCUGGUAGUCCACACCGUAAACGAUGAAUGCCAGUCGUCGGUAGUAUACUAUUCGGUGACACACCUAACGGA